AACAGAGUGAGACUCCGUCUCAAAAAAAAAAAAAAAAAAGACACAGAGCGGCCCCGAGGCAGGCUGCCUGGACUGUGCUGCUUCUCUCCUGAGCCUCUCUUUGAGGGGAGGCCUCAGGACUGAUGCCCACAUGGACUCUGUCCAGAUGCUCAGCAGCCAGUGCUCUCACUGGUUCCCAGCUCACUUAAAACCUGGUGCCCAGGGAGCAGCUGGGACAGCCCCCAGAAUCAAGACCACAUGGUCCAGGCUUUCCGUGCUUGUAGAUAGCUGUUCUCUGUCCCCACAUGUCCUUGCACCUCUGCUCACUGCAAAUGGACACCCCCAAGGAAGGGUGGACAUAGAGACCCAGGGACUCCAUGAGCUGGAAGACCAGCUGGCUCCAGGUGCUAAGGCAGUUGCCAGGAGAUGUUUAUCCCACUAAAUACUUCUUCCUGGUACUCAUUUGCAGCCUCGUCAAUCUGUGUUAAGAAGCCAUCCAAAGCCAGAAUUGACCAGGCACAGUGGUUCAUGCCUGUAAUCCCAGCACUGUGGGAGGCUGAGGGCGUUUUUAUGGCAAUGCAUGUUUUGUGGCCAGCAGGAGCCAUGUGGGAUAUUUGCUACAGAUGAACAACCCCACGAGUUGGGCGGAGAUGGCAGAAGUCUGGGUUGCACUUUCUCCAAUCCCUAAGUGUCUGGUAUGCACUCAGGUGUCCCUUGACACUUCAAAGGAUACCCCUGUGCCCUGCGGGGAUGGUGCCUGCUCACUGGCAUGCUGGAGCGGGAGACAGCCUGGCCUAUAAGUUUCUUGCUAGUGCCGGGCGCGGUGGCUCACGCCUGUAAUCCCAGCACUUUGGGAGGCCGAGGCGGGCGGAUCACAAGGUCAGGAGAUCGAGACCACGGUGAAACCCCGUCUCUACUAAAAAUACAAAAAAUUAGCCGGGCGCGGUUGUGGGCGCCUGUAGUCCCAGCUACUCGGGAGGCUGAGGCAGGAGAAUGGCGUGAACCCGGGAGGCGGAGGUUGCAGUGAGCCAAGAUCGCGCCACUGCACUCCAGCCUGGGCGACAGAGCGAGACUCCGUCUCAAAAAAAAAAAAAAUAAAUAAGUUUCUUGCUAGCAAGGACCUCUCUGCCAUCCGCUGCUUGGACUAAUGUCUGCACAGAGUUCUGGAGGAAUUCAACUCUGAGCGUCUUGGAGAACUUCAGAAAUAAUAAAAAGGAUACACAGAGGCUCCCCAGCUGGCUCCUCUGCACCGGAGAGCGUCAGGAAAGCCAUGUGGGCUGAGAGCUCAGCUGAGUGCCUGUGGCCACGAAGCUGUUGGGUCCUGCAGAGUGUGAUCUGUUGGGCAUCAAACUGUGCCAGAGUCGAGGGAGCGGGAGGCUGAGGGUCAGGAUGGAGCGGCUCAGCCUCUGGGCGGAAGCCAUCCCUUCUGUCAGAAGAAUGCAGUCGACUGUCUUUGCUCCUCUUU